GGGGAUUUAGCUCAGUUGGUAGAGCAUCUGCUUUGCAAGCAGAGGGUCAGCGGUUCGAGUCCGCUAAUCUCCACCA
rnacentral:tRNA from 1 species